rnacentral:tRNA from 1 species
GCUGGUGUAGCUCAGGGGUAGAGCGCUUCCUUGGUAAGGAAGAGGUCGUGAGUUCAAUUCUCACCACCAGCU